UGUGGAUCCUGCUCUUUUCUGGUGCUGCCUUAUGCAAGUCCCUGCCUGUGCUAAGCAUCUGUCUCCCUACCUGUGAGAUGGAGCCAAUCAUAGUCCCUACUUAAGGGUAUUUCAAAAAUGAGAAUUCCAGGAAAUCAUACAUGACAAGAUCCCAGAACAGUGCCUGAUGACUGCCUGUGCCCACCAGGAGCAAAGCUGAUACAGGGGAUCAGGAAUGAGUGCACGUUCUGAGACGUUAUGCUUUCCCUCCUGUGGUACCCUGAAAGUCGACCUGCCUCCUGAAACUGAAAUGAACUUUUGCUCCAAGGAAGAGGCCGUUUCCCCCCCGGAGCAGAGGAAAGCCCACUGGCCCUUUCUAAGGACGCCAGCCCAGCCUAACUGCAGCCCUCCAGGAGGAGACGAGGCACAGCGAGAGAAGUCAAUCUCACAUCCAGGCCUGACACCAAACAGAUGUGUGUCCCGAGUUGCAUCCUCGGAACUGGCACUGACUGGGAGCUUCUUAGGAAUAAAACCUUGUUCCAGCCCCGCCCCUUUCUUGACCUGAUAGAAGAAAUCAGAGGGGAUCUGGGUUCCCUGUGUGAAAUACUCGUCACUGUCUUGUUUGGGGACUGGCACGGGUCCUCUCACAUUAAGGGGCUAAAAGCCGACCCCUCUUGACUGCAGCUGGAUGGAAGGCCGGCUGGCCAGUUGCUCAGCGUGCUUCCUCUGUCUCUUGCUCGGACCACUCAUCUCUUCCCAGUCUCUAUGUGGCUUCUCAGUCCUGGUGCUUUUGGAAAAUACUCAAACCCAGAUCCCACCACUUGACUCAAUCUCUAGGGGUGAGUACCAGGAAUCGGCAUUUUAAAACUACCCCCAGAUGAUGGUGAUGUAAUCCAGGCCAAGAACCACUGAUUUAAAAUGAGGCUUAAGGUGGGAGUUUGAGAUUUGCAGAUUCUAACUCCUAUCUAUCUAUCUAUCUAUCU